UACGUAGGUGGCAAGCGUUGUCCGGAUUUAUUGGGUUUAAAGGGUGCGUAGGCGGUUCUAUAAGUCAGUGGUGAAAUCCGGCAGCUCAACUGUCGAUGUGCCAUUGAUACUGCAGAACUUGAGUACAGACGAGGUAGGCGGAAUUGACGGUGUAGCGGUGAAAUGCGUAGAUAUCGGAAGGAACACCAGUGGCGAAAGCGGCUUCCUGGUCCAGCACCGACGUUCAGGCACGAAAGCGUGGGGAGCAAACAGG
rnacentral:rRNA from 1 species